rnacentral:sRNA from 1 species
AGCAGCCGCGGUAAUUCCAGCUCCAAUAGCGUAUAUUAAAGUUGUUGCAGUUAAAAAGCUCGUAGUUGAAUUUCGGGGUUAGUAGAUCGGUCGUGCCACUGGUAUGUACUGGUCUCACUGAUUCCUCCUUCCUGAUGAACCGUAAUACCAUUAAUUUGGUGUUGCGGGGAGACUGGACUGUUACUUUGAAAAAAUUAGAGUGUUUAAAGCAGGCUCACGCUUGAAUACAUUAGCAUGGAAUAACGGAAUAGGACGUUUGAUUCUAUUUUGUUGGUUUCUAGGAUCGACGUAAUGAUUAAUAGGGAUAGUUGGGGGCAUUAGUAUUCAAUUGUCAGAGGUGAAAUUCUUGGAUUUAUUGAAGACUAACUACUGCGAAAGCAUUUGCCAAGGAUGUUUUCAUUAAUCAAGAACGAAAGUUAGGGGAUCGAAGACGAUCAGAUACCGUCGUAGUCUUAACCAUAAACUAUGCCGACUAGGGAUCGGAUGAUGUUAAUUUUUUAAUGUACUCAUUCG